AGUGAACGCUGGCGGCAGGCCUAACACAUGCAAGUCGAACGGCAGCACAGUAAGAGCUUGCUCUUACGGGUGGCGAGUGGCGGACGGGUGAGGAAUACAUCGGAAUCUACUUUUUCGUGGGGGAUAACGUAGGGAAACUUACGCUAAUACCGCAUACGACCUACGGGUGAAAGCAGUGGAUCUUCGGACCUUGCGCGAUUGAAUGAGCCGAUGUCGGAUUAGCUAGUUGGCGGGGUAAAGGCCCACCAAGGCGACGAUCCGUAGCUGGUCUGAGAGGAUGAUCAGCCACACUGGAACUGAGACACGGUCCAGACUCCUACGGGAGGCAGCAGUGGGGAAUAUUAGACAAUGGGCGCAAGCCUGAUACAGCCAUACCGCGUGGGUGAAGAAGGCCUUCGGGUUGUAAAGCCCUUUUGUUGGGAAAGAAAAGCAGCAGGUUAAUACCCCGCUGUUCUGACGGUACCCAAAGAAUAAGCACCGGCUAACUUCGUG
rnacentral:rRNA from 1 species